UACGAAGGGGGCUAGCGUUGCUCGGAAUCACUGGGCGUAAAGCGCACGUAGGCGGCUUUUUAAGUCAGGGGUGAAAUCCUGGAGCUCAACUCCAGAACUGCCUUUGAUACUGGGAAGCUUGAGUCCGGAAGAGGUGAGUGGAACUCCGAGUGUAGAGGUGAAAUUCGUAGAUAUUCGGAAGAACACCAGUGGCGAAGGCGAGUCUCUGGACAGUUACUGACGCUGAGGCACGAAGGCCAGGGGAGCAAACGGG
rnacentral:rRNA from 1 species